rnacentral:tRNA from 1 species
CAUAUUAAAGUUUAUUUGAAUUUUUCUUUUACACUGAAAAGGUCUCGUUAUUCGGGUAUUAUGAGGG